rnacentral:rRNA from 1 species
UACGUAGGGUGCGAGCGUUGUCCGGAAUCAUUGGGCGUAAAGGGCGCGUAGGUGGCCCGGUCAGCGUGCGGUGAAAGCUCGGGGCUCAACCCCGAGUCGGCCGUGCGAACUGCUGGGCUUGAGCACUGUAGAGGCAGGCGGAAUUCCGGGUGUAGCGGUGGAAUGCGUGGAGAUCCGGAAGAACACCGGUGGCGAAGGCGGCCUGCUGGGCAGUGGCUGACACUGAGGCGCGACAGCGUGGGGAGCAAACAGG